GACGAACGCUGGCGGCGUGCCUAAUACAUGCAAGUCGAACGCUGAAGGAGGAGCUUGCUCUUCUGGAUGAGUUGCGAACGGGUGAGUAACGCGUAGGUAACCUGCCUGGUAGCGGGGGAUAACUAUUGGAAACGAUAGCUAAUACCGCAUAAGAGUAGAUGUUGCAUGACAUUUACUUAAAAGGUGCAAUUGCAUCACUACCAGAUGGACCUGCGUUGUAUUAGCUAGUUGGUGGGGUAACGGCUUACCAAGGCGACGAUACAUAGCCGACCUGAGAGGGUGAUCGGCCACACUGGGACUGAGACACGGCCCAGACUCCUACGGUAGGCAGCAGUAGGGAAUCUUCGGCAAUGGACGGAAGUCUGACCGAGCAACGCCGCGUGAGUGAAGAAGGUUUUCGGAUCGUAAAGCUCUGUUGUAAGAGAAGAACGAGUGUGAGAGUGGAAAGUUCACACUGUGACGGUAUCUUACCAGAAAGGGACGGCUAACUACGUG
rnacentral:rRNA from 1 species